AUUUAAGAAUGAGUACACCAAAUAUUCAAUUAUUUCUUUUCAAUUUUAUAUUUCAUUCACUUUUUCAUCAUACUAAUUCCCAACAAAUGACCCGGCCCACGUCUGUUUCUUUUUCCCAAAGAAGAACAAAAAGACGACAUCAACGACAAAAUGCAGUGCCGAAAAUGCGCGUGACCAAACGAAAGCGAGAUCGCCCAGCAACCGCGAAGUCCAGUGGCGAUUCGGCCCUCUCUCGCGUCGUUCUUUCUCAUUUCCCCUUUUCCUGUUCAGUACAAGGUUUCCAAGAAGAGCAGCAAAAGCCUGAACCAGCCGCGUCUACUCGUCCUCGUGACUAUGAGAUGACACCACGUCGAGCUCCAAGAAUUCGAGCCGUUCACGUCCAUAUCAACUUUGCAAAUUUUGGUCAAAAAUCGGGUAUUCUCGAAAAACCCAACAGUCUCUUGUCCUUGAGGGUUUCAAAUAUUGAAAUGGGAUUUGGAUUUUCAAUUUUACCCUCAUCCGCCCAUUCCCCCCCCCCCCCCCCAAGUUUUUGGAACCAUAAAAAUCCCCCCUAUUUAUUUGCUUCAGCGUUCAAAAAAAUAAAGGGAGAAGAAAAAAAAAGUUGGGAAAAUUUAGGAGACAAUUUCUAACGGGAGAAACUGGUAAUAGACUUUUGGUUUGAGAAUUUUAGUCGCAAAGUUUUAGAGUAUAAAAUAUAUUAAUAUUACAUCAAGCGAUCAUUCACAAAAUUUGAUCGAGAUUCAAGAUUUCGCUUGGGUUCCUUUAUUGCUACCCUUGGUUAUUUUCGUGUGGUGAAGUCGUCGCUCUCUCUCGUCGGUCUCAAUUUUCACUGCCUACAGAAAGUAAAAAAUGUUCAAACUCAUGGGCUGAAGUCUGCGCGCUGUGUUUCUUAAUAUCAUUAGUACGUUUGGUAGAAAAUUGUGUAAUGCGUGACGAGAAGGAAGUUUGUAAGCAUUAUAGCUUGUUGAGUCUUUCUUUACUUUCUUUAUUGAGUUGAAACAAUGUUUGGAUUGGAUUUUUGUUCGUCCUCUAUUGGUUCCUCUAUCAAAAUUUUUCUCCGUUUAGGUAUCCCUGUUGACACCCAAUUUUGAUCCUCACUGAUAAAGAUUAAGCAUCGAUCUUUUUCAAUUUUUUAACGAUUCCAAA